rnacentral:rRNA from 1 species
CCCUUAGACGUUCUGGGCCGCACGCGCGCUACACUGACCAGUGCAACAAGCAUCCGUCCUUGGCCGACAGGCCCGGGCAAUCUUUGAACGCUGGUCGUGAUGGGGAUAGACUUUUGCAAUUUUUGGUCUUCAACGAGGAAUUCCUAGUAAACGCAAGUCAUCAACUUGCAUUGAUUACGUCCCUGCCCUUUGUACACACCGCCCGUCGCACCUACCGAUUGAAUGGUCCGGUGAAGCCUCCGGAUUGGCGCGCACCUCGGUGCCGCCGAGAAGUUGGCUAAACCUUACCAUUUAGCGGAAGGUGAANUCGUAACA